rnacentral:rRNA from 1 species
UACGAAGGGGGGCUAGCGUUGCUCGGAAUCACUGGGCGUAAAGGGUGCGUAGGCGGGUCUUUUAAGUCAGGGGUGAAAUCCUGGAGCUCAACUCCAGAACUGCCUUUGAUACUGAGGAUCUUGAGUUCGGGAGAGGUGAGUGGAACUGCGAGUGUAGAGGUGAAAUUCGUAGAUAUUCGCAAGAACGCCAGUGGCGAAGGCGGCUCACUGGCCCGAUACUGACGCUGAGGCACGAAAGCGUGGGGAGCAAACAGG